rnacentral:rRNA from 1 species
GAUGAACGCUAGCGGCAGGCCUAACACAUGCAAGUCGAGGGAGGAGCUUUCGGGCUUCGACCGGCGUACGGGUGCGUAACGCGUAUACAAUCUGCCUUUCACAUAGGGAUAGCCCGAAGAAAUUUGGAUUAAUACCUAAUGGUAUAUAGGAGUGGCAUCACAUUUAUAUUAAAGCUAAGGCGGUGAAAGAUGAGUAUGCGUUCUAUUAGCUAGUUGGAGAGGUAACGGCUCCCCAAGGCGACGAUAGAUAGGGGUUCUGAGAGGGAUAUCCCCCACACUGGUACUGAGAUACGGACCAGACUCCUACGGGAGGCAGCAGUGAGGAAUAUUGGACAAUGGUCGGAAGACUGAUCCAGCCAUGCCGCGUGCAGGAAGACGGCCUUAUGGGUUGUAAACUGCUUUUGCAGGGGAAGAAUAAGGACUACGCGUAGUUUGAUGACGGUACUCUGCGAAUAAGCAUCGGCUAACUCCGUGCCAGCAGCCGCGGUAAUACGGAGGAUGCGAGCGUUAUCCGGAAUCAUUGGGUUUAAAGGGUCCGUAGGCGGGCUAAUAAGUCAGAGGUGAAAGCGCUCAGCUCAACUGAGCAACUGCCUUUGAAACUGUUAGUCUUGAAUGGUUGUGAAGUAGUUGGAAUGUGUAGUGUAGCGGUGAAAUGCUUAGACAUUACACAGAACACCGAUAGCGAAGGCAUAUUACUAACAAUUAAUUGACGCUGAUGGACGAAAGCGUGGGGAGCGAACAGG